ensembl:snRNA U6 U6 spliceosomal RNA
GUGCUCGCUUCCACAGCACAUGUACUAAAACCAAAAGUGUACAGAGAAGAUGAUCAUGGCCCUUUUGCAAGGAUGACAUGCAAAUUCAUGAAGUGUUCCAUAGAAAG